rnacentral:rRNA from 1 species
GUCGUUGGGUCAAACCAGCGACUGCGUUGGCGUUGCGGGCUCGGUCCGUCGGUGCCCACAAAGCACUGGCGUGUCAACCGGCCCGCCCGUCCCCUCCUUCUGGAUUCCCGUUCCUGCUAUUGAGUUAGUGGGGACGUCACAGGGGGCUCAUCGUCGUCAGCAAUGCCGGCGGUGGGUUCCUGGGGCCCAGAUCGUUUACCGUGAAAAAAUUAGAGUGUUCAAAGCAGGCAGAUCCAAUUUUCUGCCACCGAAUACAUUAGCAUGGGAUAAUGGAAUAGGACCCUGUCCUCCUAUUUUCAGUUGGUUUUGGCAGCGCGAGGACUAGGGUAAUGAUUAAUAGGGAUAGUUGGGGGCAUUAAUAUUUAAUUGUCAGAGGUGAAAUUCUUGGAUUUAUGAAAGAUUAACUUCUGCGAAAGCAUCUGCCAAGGAUGUUUUCAUUAAUCAAGAACGAAAGUUAGGGGAUCGAAGACGAUCAGAUACCGUCGUAGUCUUAACCAUAAACGAUGCCGACCAGCGAUUAGGAGACGUUGAAUACAAAA